rnacentral:lncRNA from 1 species
UUCAUCUUAUAUAUAUAUAUAUAUAAUUGUUGAAUUAAUAAUUGACACAAAUUAAUGUGCUAAUCAUCCAAGUAUAAACUAGGAAUGAGUAAAUAAAAGUAAAUGAAAUGAAACAAAUUAUAUAUGUGAUUUAAGUGAUAUAAUCAUAAAUCUAAACUCUUAUUUAUACAUAAUUAUAUAUGUAUGCGGGCCGAGUCGGGCUUUCUUGGGCUUAAUCGGGUUGGGCCUAUGGGCCGGGCCAGGCUUUAGACACCCAAGCUCAAGCCUAACCCAGCCCAAGGCGGGCCGGACCAUCUUAAAGCCCAUAACAGGCCGAAUUGGGCUUUUUUUCGAUGAGCCGGACUGGCCCCCAUCGGCCCAUAAACCUGCGGGCCAAAUGAUGAGGCCUAUUUGGAACCUUGCCACUACUAAAGUCAUUUAAUGAAAUCACAAUUUAUGACCACAAAAUAUAUAUAUAUAUUUAUAUUGUAUAAAAAAGUCAUUUUAGUUGUUUUAUAUUUUCUUAAGGUCUGGUAUUUCGUUUCGUCUUCACCACCACUGUCAUUGUUUCUUCUUUUUCUUCUAUUUUAAUUUUUUAAUUUUUGUUUGUUUGUUAUUUAUUUAUAAUAUAUUUAUUAUAAUAAUAAUAAUUGUUAUUAUUAUUACUGAUUUGGCUCCCUAUGUAUUUUGUAUGAUUAAUACAAUAGCACAUGAAUAGAUGAUCAAUUCUGAUUUAUUUGUUUAAUUGAUAAUUUGAUAUGCAUUUUAAUUAGAUUAAUUGAAAUUAAUUUUUUUAGAUUUUUUUAUUUCUUCGUUAAAUUCUAAAGGUAUUUGGUUGUUUAAUUAUUUAAUUAUUUUUGAGUUUUUAGUCUUUUAUUUAUUGCCCCUUUCCUGAAAAAUUUCUAGAUCCACCAUUGGCCACAUCAAUUAAAAUGGUUUAAUAUUUUAUUUUAUUUUAUGAUUUAU